ACUUGUCCCUAGAAUGUCAAAUGACUUGAUUUGGCGUGUGAGAUGGCAGAGUCGCAACUGUAGCAGAUUCAUUUGAGGCUCACGCAAAAAAAUUGCAGGCUUCAAAUGCAUUAGGUCCCCGUACAAGCAGCUUGGAAGCAGGAAGUUCCAUGUUAUCAGAUGCAUGUGAAGCUACAGAAAUUCCAGGGAGAGUAAGACAAAGAGAUGACAAUGUAGACUCACCACCAGAAACGUCACGAGGAUAUGAUACCUUCGCUCUGGGCAUCUUGGCCCCAUCUGACAUCAAAAAAUGGACCAACGCAAGAGGUGCAAUAGAGUCUUUCGAGCCUGGGGAUUAUUUUGAGUUGACUUUAACACGUGAUUGGAAAUCACAGUCACAAUCCACAGUAAACUCCAUAUCUGAGCUAAAAAAACAAUAAAAACAGCAUUUAGAACCUUUCGCUUUCGCAGGUAACCUGAAGGAACUACUAGCACAUUGCCACAGCUAGCAUCAAUAACCAGAAUUCAUGGAGAAGGAGCUCUUGACAUUGUGAAAAUAGACUCAUGAACCGGAUCCUCUCGUAAGUAACCUACGCUUCUGAAGGCAAAACUAUUCUCAUUCUUCUCCGUUUAAGUCCUGAGAUACUCUAUUUCCGAAUCUUAUCUUAUGCUUUUCAAAAUGAUCGCUGUAUUAUUUAUACGUAUGGUAGCAUGGUGUGAACUUCUCUACUUCCAACUACAAUUUCUACAUUGUUGUUGUUUACAUUGUAAAAAUAUUCAAUGCAGUUCCAAAACGUUCAAAGAAUUAGCCAAUCUCAUGUAUGUUACACAAGGUGCAAUUAGAAGUUAUUGCACAAUUGCAAUUAUAAGUUAUUUUGUAAAAUUUUGCAAUUAAAAUAUAUUGCAAUUAAAAUUUUGAUAAAGUUUUAGUAAGAUAUGCCAUGUCAUCAAAAUAGUAUGAUAUAUUUGGAUAUGGAGGCAUACAAUAUUCUUUUUAAAAUACCAUUACG